rnacentral:lncRNA from 13 species
UAUUGGUGAGACAGGAAGACAAAGUGAUGGAGGAGUCUUCCGUAACAGCGAAAUCGGGAAACGUUUUGAAGCUAAUUCAUUCAAACUGCCAACUCCGAGACAGAUCGAAAAUAAUGGACCAGCUUUACUAUAUGUAUUGGUAGCGGAUGAGGCUUUUCCAUUAUCGAUGUAUAUGAUAGGCCAUAUCCACGAAGUGGAAAACUUGACAUUGGAGAAAAGAUAUUUAAUUAUAGACUAAGCCGUGCAAGAAGAAUUGUGGAAAGUGCUUUUGAUAUGUUGGCGAAUCGAUGGAGAAUAUAUCGAAAGCCAAUCAUUGCAAACAUCAGCAAUGCACACAAAAUUAUACAAGCAACUGUAGCAUUGCACAAUUUUAUCAUCCAAAAUGAAGAAAAUUUAACCGGAAAAAAACAUAUUUACAUUUAAUUACAGAAAAUUCGGAUAUACAUCAUGGUAUUUGCAAUAUACCACUUUGUAGAGGUCGAAGUAAUAACAAUGCUACUACAAUCAGACAAGCGUUUUCAACAUACUUUCAAAGUACUGGUGCAUUAUCUUAUCAGUGGGAGAAAGCGUUGCAGAAUGAUUUUUAAUUUGUAAUAAAAAUAGGCGCGCAGGAGCCUCCUUUCGAGACAACCCGAACAUAGAAACAAUAUGCAUCUAUAUCACAGACAUAUAUAUAGUAAGAAUAGACAAAGUAACGUUUGAUAGAAAAAAAAACAAAGGCAGUUAUAGCAUUUCUCUCUUUCUCUCUCUCUCUCUCUUAUUCACACAAUUAUCUCUACUCUAAGCUACGUGUACAAUGUAAUAUCAUUACCAAUAAACAAUUAAUAAAC